rnacentral:rRNA from 1 species
GGAAUAUUGGACAAUGGGGGGAACCCUGAUCCAGCCAUGCCGCGUGUGUGAAGAAGGCCUUUUGGUUGUAAAGCACUUUAAGCGAGGAGGAGGCUACUCUAGUUAAUACCUAGGGAUAGUGGACGUUACUCGCAGAAUAAGCACCGGCUAACUCUGUGCCAGCAGCCGCGGUAAUACAGAGGGUGCGAGCGUUAAUCGGAUUUACUGGGCGUAAAGCGUGCGUAGGUGGCCAAUUAAGUCAAAUGUGAAAUCCCCGAGCUUAACUUGGGAAUUGCAUUCGAUACUGGUUGGCUAGAGUAUGGGAGAGGAUGGUAGAAUUCCAGGUGUAGCGGUGAAAUGCGUAGAGAUCUGGAGGAAUACCGAUGGCGAAGGCAGCCAUCUGGCCUAAUACUGACACUGAGGUACGAAAGCAUGGGGAGCAAACAGGAUUAGAUACCCUUG